AAUUUAGGUAAAGGGGUGCAGAGCCAGUGGUGGUUCUGUAGGCAAACAUUAAUGCCUUGAAAUAAUAAAUAAUGAAAAAUAGUCUUCCAGGUCAGCUUACAAACUGACAUCAUCACAACAGCUGCAUCCACGGAAGUUAUUGAAGUUGCUUGUAGUUUUCAGUUUGGGGAUUUGUGUUUAUUGAGUGCCUUUAAUUCAAGUAGAUUUCAUCUAGUGAUCAUCUUCUCCACAGGUUGAGCCCCAGCUUUACUCUGUCCAUCAUUAUGGAGAUUUAUGAAACUCGCUUUCCUCAGUAUGUGUCCAGUCUGAUGAGUUCAGCAGGAAAUGACAUCAACCUGAAUGCCAGAGUGUUGGACUCUGUUCACUGCGCUGCCCUGCGCUUCACUCUAGAGCACUGCAACACUGUCAAACUCAAUCUGCUCUGGACCUCCAUACCAGAGGAGCAGCUAGAGAGCUUUCUGCCUUUACUCAGCAGAGUCAAACAACUCAGUGUUGACAGGCUGCUGUUGCUGAAGCUGCUUCAUUGCUGCAGUUCCUCUGAUCUCCAGCAGGAGGCCGCAGAUGUUCUUCUCGCUGCUCUUCACAACACGCUGGACUUCUCCUGCUGCUCUGCUCUGGAUUUAACAGACACACAGGAAAACCAAGAGCAUUUGAAACUAACUGAAAAAGACUGUAGAAUAAUCUCAUCCGUGCUUCAGAAAACUCAAAGCAUUGUGAAGUUGAUCUUACAGGACUGUGAGCUCUCCGAUACGGCCCUGAAACAACUUUGGCCAAUCCUGCCUCAAGUGCAGCUGAACUGUAGUAAAGCUCUGCUGCUGCAGUUUCUGGCUUGUAUUAGUAAAGAUGGAUCUCAGAGAGGCUCUUUGAGGAGCGCUGAGGCUCUUUCACAGGCUUUGGGAGGAGAGAUGGACCUCAGUCACACUCAGAUGGACCCGAGAGUUUGUGAACAACUGGCGCUGUUUCUGGAAUAUUCUGAAGGACUGACAGAACUGGAUCUCAGUCACUGCAAACUCACUGAUCUCUGCAUGGAGCCGCUGCUGCCACAUCUGCACAAAACCCAGACUCUGGAUCUGAGUCACAAUAAUAUCACAGAUGAAUCAGCAAAGAGAGUCCACAGUGUCGUCUGCACUCACAGCAAUAUUCAGACUGUACGGUAAGUGUGUGU
rnacentral:lncRNA from 1 species